AGGCUUGUUUGUUAGCCAAGGAUGAAUUGCCUAGCUAUAUCAUAUAAUCAACUCUAAUAAUGGUUCUUACUACUGCUUCAGUAGAAGCUAGCUGAUAUGGUUCAUAAGCAAGUCAUGCUUGGCUUCUCUGACAGCCUCU